rnacentral:rRNA from 1 species
GUCGACGGUAGAGGGGGCAACCCCUCGAGAGUGGCGAACGGGUGAGUAAUAUAUCGGAACGUGCCCAGUCGUGGGGGAUAACGUAGCGAAAGUUACGCUAAUACCGCAUACGAUCUACGGAUGAAAGCGGGGGAUCGCAAGACCUCGCGCGAUUGGAGCGGCCGAUAUCAGAUUAGGUAGUUGGUGGGGUAAAGGCUCACCAAGCCAACGAUCUGUAGCUGGUCUGAGAGGACGACCAGCCACACUGGAACUGAGACACGGUCCAGACUCCUACGGGGGGCAGCAGUGGGGGAUUUUGGACAAUGGACGCAAGUCUGAUCCAGCCAUUCCGCGUGCAGGAUGAAGGCCCUCGGGUUGUAAACUGCUUUUGUACGGAACGAAAAGGUUUCUAUUAAUACUAGGAGCUCAUGACGGUACCGUAAGAAUAAGCACCGGCUAACUACGUGCCAGCAGCCGCGGUAAUACGUAGGGUGCAAGCGUUAAUCGGAAUUACUGGGCGUAAAGCGUGCGCAGGCGGUUAUGUAAGACAGAGGUGAAAUCCCCGGGCUCAACCUGGGAACUGCCUUUGUGACUGCAUAGCUAGAGUACGGUAGAGGGGGGGAUGGAAUUCCGCGUGUAGCAGUGAAAUGCGUAGAUAUGCGGAGGAACACCGAUGGCGAAGGCAAUCCCCUGGACCUGUACUGACGCUCAUGCACGAAAGCGUGGGGAGCAAACAGGAUUAGAUACCCUGGUAGUCCACGCCCUAAACGA